GUGAGGAAUAUUGGUCAAUGGGCGAGAGCCUGAACCAGCCAAGUAGCGUGAAGGAAGACUGCCCUACGGGUUGUAAACUUCUUUUGUACGGGAAUAAAGUGCGCCACGUGUGGCGUUUUGCAUGUACCGUACGAAUAAGGACCGGCUAAUUCCGUGCCAGCAGCCGCGGUAAUACGGAAGGUCCGAGCGUUAUCCGGAUUUAUUGGGUUUAAAGGGAGCGCAGGCGGAAUGUUAAGUCAGCUGUGAAAUCCCGUCGCUCAACGGCGGAACUGCAGUUGAUACUGGCUUUCUUGAGUGCACAUAAGGAUGGUGGAAUUCGUGGUGUAGCGGUGAAAUGCUUAGAUAUCACGAAGAACUCCGAUUGCGAAGGCAGCCAUCUGGGGUGCAACUGACGCUGAGGCUCGAAAGUGCGGGUAUCAAACAGG
rnacentral:rRNA from 1 species